rnacentral:rRNA from 1 species
UACGAAGGGGGCUAGCGUUGUUCGGAAUCACUGGGCGUAAAGGGCGCGUAGGCGGCCGAUCAAGUCGGGGGUGAAGGCCUGUGGCUCAACCACAGAAUUGCCUUCGAUACUGUUUGGCUUGAGACCGGAAGAGGUAAGUGGAACUGCGAGUGUAGAGGUGAAAUUCGUAGAUAUUCGCAAGAACACCAGUGGCGAAGGCGGCUUACUGGUCCGGUUCUGACGCUGAGGCGCGAAAGCGUGGGGGAGCAAACAGG